UACGUAGGGGGCAAGCGUUGUCCGGAAUCAUUGGGCGUAAAGCGCGCGUAGGCGGCCCGGUAAGUCCGCUGUGAAAGUCGGGGGCUCAACCCUCGGAUGCCGGUGGAUACUGUCGGGCUUGAGUGCGGAAGAGGCGAGUGGAAUUCCUGGUGUAGCGGUGAAAUGCGCAUAUAUCAGGAGGAACACCAAUUGCGAAGGCAGCUCGCUGGGACGUUACUGACGCUGAUGCGCGAAAGCGUGGGGAGCAAACAGG
rnacentral:rRNA from 1 species